rnacentral:rRNA from 1 species
UACGUAGGGUGCAAGCGUUACUCGGAAUUACUGGGCGUAAAGCGUGCGCAGGCGGUUUGUUGUGUCUGUGGGGAAAGCCCCGGGCUUAACCUGGGAAUGGCCAUGGAAACUGGCGAGCUGGAGUGUGGCAGAGGGGGGUGGAAUUCCGCGUGUAGCAGUGAAAUGCGUAGAGAUGCGGAGGAACACCGAUGGCGAAGGCAGCCCCCUGGGUUGACACUGACGCUCAGGCACGAAAGCGUGGGGAGCAAACAGG